GACGAACGCUGGCGGCGUGCUUAACACAUGCAAGUCGAACGGAAAGGCCCUGCCUUUGUGGGGUGCUCGAGUGGCGAACGGGUGAGUAACACGUGAGUAACCUGCCCUGGACUUUGGGAUAACUUCAGGAAACUGGGGCUAAUACCGGAUAGGAGCUCCUGCUGCAUGGCGGGGGUGGGAAAGUUUCGGCGGUUGGGGAUGGACUGGCGGCUUAGCGGGUUGUUGGUGGGGUAGUGGCUUACCAAGGCUUUGACGGGUAGCCGGCCUGAGAGGGUGACCGGCCACAUUGGGACUGGGAUACGGCCCAGACUCCUCCGGGGGGCAGCAGUGGGGAAUAUUGCACAAUGGGCGGAAGCCGGAUGCAGCAACGCCGCGGGCGGGAUGACGGCCUUCGGUUUUUAAACCGCUUUCGCCUGUGACGAAGCGUGAGUGACGGUAAUGGGUAAAGAAGCACCGGCUAACUACGUG
rnacentral:rRNA from 1 species